AUUACCGCGGCUGCUGGCACGUAGUUGGCCGAGGCUUAUUCCUCAGGUACCGUCAUUUUUUUCUUCCCUGAGAAAAGGGGUUUACGACCCGUGAGCCUUCAUCCCCCACGCGGUGUUGCUGCGUCAGGCUUUCGCCCAUUGCGCAAGAUUCCCUGCUGCUGCCUCCCGUAGG
rnacentral:rRNA from 1 species